AUUGAACGCUGGCGGCAGGCCUAACACAUGCAAGUCGAACGAGUGGCGGACGGGUGAGUAAUGUCUGGGAAACUGCCCGAUGGAGGGGGAUAACUACUGGAAACGGUAGCUAAUACCGCAUACCAUCGGAUGUGCCCAGAUGGGAUGAGCUAGUAGGUGGGGUAACGGCUCACCUAGGCGACGAUCCCUAGCUGGUCUGAGAGGAUGACCAGCCACACUGGAACGGAGAAACGGUCCAGACUCCUACGGGAGGCAGCAGUGGGGAAUAUUGCACAAUGGGCGCAAGCCUGAUGCAGCCAUGCCGCGUGGAUGAAGAGGGCUUUCGGGUUGUAAAGUACUUUGAGCGAGGAGGCGUUACUCGCAGAAGAAGCACCGGCUAACUCCGUGCCAGCAGCCGCGGUAAUUC
rnacentral:rRNA from 1 species